CCUACGGGAGGCAGCAGUCGAGAAUCUUCCGCAAUGGGCGAAAGCCUGACGGAGCGACGCCGCGUGAGCGAUGAAGCCCUUCGGGGUGUAAAGCUCUUUUCUGGAGGAAAAAUUUUUACUUCGGUAAUUAUGAUGGUACUCCAGGAAUAAGGGGCCGCUAAACUCGUGCCAGCAGCGGCGGUAAUACGAGUGCCCCAAGCGUUAUCCGGAAUUAUUGGGCGUAAAGCGUGGGUAGGCGGUCUUGAUAGUGGUUGGUUAAAUUCCGAGGCUUAACCUCGGUUCGGCCAAUCAAACGUCAGGACUAGAGCAGGUGAGAGGCUGAUGGAACUUACCAAGUAGGGGUGAAAUCCGUUGGUAUGGUAGGGAACACCAAAGGCGAAGGCAUUCAGCUGGUGCCUGGCUGACGCUGAGCCACGAAAGCGUGGGUAGCGAACGAGAUUAGAUACCCCGGUAGUCCAAGCC
rnacentral:rRNA from 1 species